rnacentral:rRNA from 1 species
AGCAGUAGCCGCGGUAAUACGAAGGGUGCAAGCGUUACUCGGAAUUACUGGGCGUAAAGCGUGCGUAGGUGGUGGUUUAAGUCCGUUGUGAAAGCCCUGGGCUCAACCUGGGAAUUGCAGUGGAUACUGGAUCACUAGAGUGUGGUAGAGGAUAGUGGAAUUUCCGGUGUAGCAGUGAAAUGCGUAGAGAUCGGAAGGAACAUCUGUGGCGAAGGCGACCAUCUGGGCCAACACUGACACUGAGGCACGAAAGCGUGGGGAGCAAACAGGAUUAGAUACCCCGGUAGUCCCUGUCUCUUAUAC